rnacentral:rRNA from 1 species
GACAGAGGGUGCAAACGUUGUUCGGAAUUACUGGGCGUAAAGCGAGUGUAGGCGGUCUUGAAAGUCGGAUGUGAAAGCCCUGGGCUCAACCCAGGAAGUGCAUUCGAUACUCCAAGGCUAGAGUACUGGAGAGGUGGGUGGAAUUCUCGGUGUAGAGGUGAAAUUCGUAGAUAUCGAGAGGAACACCGUCGGCGAAGGCGGCCCACUGGACAGAUACUGACGCUGAGGAGCGAAAGCCAGGGGAGCAAACGGG